rnacentral:rRNA from 1 species
GAUGAACGCUAGCUACAGGCUUAACACAUGCAAGUCGAGGGGCAGCAUGGUCUUAGCUUGCUAAGGCCGAUGGCGACCGGCGCACGGGUGAGUAACACGUAUCCAACCUGCCGUCUACUCUUGGACAGCCUUCUGAAAGGAAGAUUAAUACAAGAUGGCAUCAUGAGUCCGCAUGUUCACAUGAUUAAAGGUAUUCCGGUAGACGAUGGGGAUGCGUUCCAUUAGAUAGUAGGCGGGGUAACGGCCCACCUAGUCUUCGAUGGAUAGGGGUUCUGAGAGGAAGGUCCCCCACAUUGGAACUGAGACACGGUCCAAACUCCUACGGGAGGCAGCAGUGAGGAAUAGUGGUCAAUGGGCGAGAGCCUGAACCAGCCAAGUAGCGUGAAGGAUGACUGCCCUAUGGGUGGUAAACUUCUUUUAGAAAGGAAUAAAGUCGGGUAUGGAUACCCGUUUGCAUGUACUUUAUGAAUAAGGAUCGGCUAACUCCGUG